ensembl:lncRNA
UAAAGCUCCAAGAUGAAUGCAAGAGGAAGAAAUGGGCCGUUGUUUAUCAAGACGUACAGUAAAAGAAUGCGAAAGGUGGAGCCGUGGUUCUCUCCUGACCUGAAGAAAGCAGCUUUCUCGUUUUCAAGCACUCUUUCAUCAGAUCAGUCCAUAACAGAGACCACACAACCCAAGAAACGGAGAAUAAGAGAAAGAGCUUCCCGUCCUGCCAAGAGCAAAGGCAUGACUGCUAUAAAGGAGAACGAGGAAAACUACUCACCGUCCUCAUUGUUCAGAAAGAAGACAAAUGCAAAACCAUCAGUGAGGACGACAGCUGUGAGGAAGACUCGAACGGCAAAAACAAAUAAACCGAUCAUUCUCAGCAGCAGUGAAAAUGAGGAUGACUCCUGUAUGAUAAAGAAAAGAAUUCGUCCGAAAACGUCUGCUGGUGAAUGUGCUGGGUGAGGCUUGUUAUACAUUUAGUAAAAAAAAAAAAAUCACUGCUGCUUGACUUUGUUUGAGUGAAAUAUUGUUUUGUAUCUGUGUAGUGCUGAGAAAGUGUUCGGCGCUCAAUGUUUGCCUAAGUUCGUCACACAUCGCAGAAGACCACCAGCACCCAUCCAAACCAAUCCGAUCGUAAGUAACAGUCUGCAAGGGGGGUUCUUGGUUUCUAUUGGAUUGGCAUUAAAACAGUUUUUUUCUUUCCCUCUAGUCUGUUGAUGAUUCCUUAGAUGACUUUCUUCCUCCAUUCUCCCAAAACAAGCGGAAGCCGCUUCACAUGGGCUCCAAUAAUCAUGCUGCUCUCAAGAACCGCGUGGCUCUGGCUGAAGUCUCGUUCAAUGACAGCGAUGACCAGCAGCUCCCAAGUAAACGUCCUCUGCUGUCGAGUACACCUUCUCUGGUCUGCAGACGGCUCCAAACCUUACCAGAGCGCUCCAUCAGUGAGAUCUCCUCCCUCAGCUUUGAUGAACUUCACCAGCCUGCAGAAAACAACUACAGCCUUCAUAAUCUGAAGAAUAUGAAAGCGUGUGACCACACAAGUCACCAACUCACAAACCCAGGGAUCUCCUCGGGAGAGAGAGUGAUGGAGCAGAAGGAAGGAGAACGGGAUGCAGUUGUGGAAGAGAGAGCUGGGGAUGGAGAGAGGGAUAAAAAAGGAAAUCCUGGAUGCGUUUCACGACAGUCACGUCUAGAAUCUUUAGCAGACGAGUUAAAGGAGAGGUGUCGCAAAGUGGAUGUAGCCGUAAUGCUAAAAAAAAUAGACGUCUCGGAUCAUCUGUUGGUGCAAAGCUGCGUCAGGGAACGAGAAGAGAAAAUCUCCUCUGAUUGCUUGGAGUCGUCUGUGGCAGCAAACAGCCAAACCUAUAUAACUGUAUCAUCCAGCUGCUCCUCUCUAUCCAAACCAUCACUCUAUCUCUCCUCAAAGUCUCCGUCCACUUCCCCUUUUGCUGGAGCUGUUUGUUCAAAGCAGUCUCUUAUUGGGCGUCUUAAGGCUGAAUGUCUGUUAUCUUCCCUCGCUGUCAGCGUUCCACGUCUGGACUUGGAUGCGUAUCCUUCUGUCCACCAGAGGGCAGCAGAAGCGCCCUGCCCCGCCUCCCCACACACCUGCCACAGAGACAGUGCAUCCUCUCCACCUCUCAAAGAGACGGGGAACGUCAUCCCAACCAGCUCCCAGACUCCCAGAAACCCUGAAGGAGAUGUUCAACACUCGUCUGCAUCAUCCCGACCACCUCCGGUCUCUCCGUCUGCCUCUGCAGCUUAUAGCAAAACACGUCCUCCUGCUGUGCCUAAAGAACGCACUGGGUCAGGUACUGGCACCGGCCGCAAAGUUUGUGUGAGUGGACUUAAUGUCAGCCGCUGGUCAAAGAGGGGUGCUGGAGAAUUCAAUGAAAAGCGGAGGAAAAAGGACGGACGGAUAAAGACGGUGUCAGGAGACUGGGGCAGCAUGUCUUCUGCAGGGGACUCAUCAUGUGCCUGGCUGCAGGGCACCAGUGGGAUCGGUCUGGCUGUAACGCCUCUCAGGAUGGAGCAAAUGAAUCUGUCUUCCAUUCUGACCAACUUUACUCCCGACACACUCACGACACACUCCUGGGGCCGACUAAAGGCAGCACUGUCCCUGCAUAAGAAGAAGACUGGUAUGUGUCUGCAGCAGACCAGAUAA